rnacentral:rRNA from 1 species
AUACGGAGGAUCCGAGCGUUAUCCGGAUUUAUUGGGUUUAAAGGGUGCGCAGGCGGCCAUUUAAGUCAGCGGUUAAAUCGUGGGGCUCAACCCCAUUCUGCCGUUGAUACUGGGUGGCUUGAUUGCGGUCGAGGUUGGCGGAAUUAGUUGUGUAGCGGUGAAAUGCAUAGAUAUGACGAAGAACACCGAUUGCGUAAGCAGCUGACCAGAACGCAAAUGACUCUCAGGCUCGAAAGUACGGGGUUCAAACAGGAUUAGAUUCCCUGGUAGUCCGAACAGUAAACGAUGAAGACUUGUUUUCGGCGAUAUAAUGUCGGAGGUAUAGCGAAAGCGAUAAGUAUUCCACCUGGGGAGUAAGCCGGCAACGGUGAAACUCAAAGUAACUGACGAGG